rnacentral:rRNA from 1 species
GACGAACGCUGGCGGCGUGCUUAACACAUGCAAGUCGAACGGAAAGGCCCUGCUUUUGUGGGGUGCUCGAGUGGCGAACGGGGGAGUAACACGUGAGUAACCUGCCCUUGACUUUGGGAUAACUUCAGGAAACUGGGGCUAAUACCGGAUAGGAGCUCCUGCUGCAUGGGGGGGGUUGGAAAGUUUCGGCGGUUGGGGAUGGACUCGCGGCUUAUCAGCUUGUUGGUGGGGUAGUGGCGUCCCAAGGCUUUGACGGGUAGCCGGCCUGGGAGGGUGACCGGCGACAUUGGGCCUGCGAUACGGAGCAGUCUGCUACGGGAGGCAGCGGUGGGGAGCCUUGCACAGUGGGCGGACGCGUGAGGCGGCGACGCUGCGGGCGUGAUGCCGUCCUUCUGGUUGUGAACCGCUGUCGCCUGAGACGAAGCGUGAGUGACGGUACCGGGUAAAGAAGCACCGGCUAACUACGUG